rnacentral:rRNA from 1 species
GACGAACGCUGGCGGAGUGCUUAAAAAAUGCAAGUAGAACGGAAAAGAACAAUUGUGGGGUAAACGAAUAGCGAAAGGGAGAGUAACACGAGAGUCAACAACAAAAGACUUUGAGAUAACUUCAGGAAACUGGGGCUAAUACCGGAUAGGAGCUCCUGCUGCAUGGUGGGGGUUGGAAAGUUUCGGCGGUUGGGGAUGGACUCGCGGCUUAUCAGCUUGGUGGUGGGGUAGUGGCUCACCAAGGCGUUGACGGGUAGCCGGCCUGAGAGGGUGACCGGCCACAUUGGGACUGAGAUACGGCCCAGACUCCUACGGGAGGCAGCAGUGGGGAAUAUUGCACAAUGGGCGGAAGCCUGAUGCAGCAACGCCGCGUGCGGGAUGACGGCCUUCGGGUUGGUAACCGCUUUCGCCUGUGACGAAGCGUGAGUGACGGUAAUGGGUAAAGAAGCACCGGCUAACUACGUG